AUGAUUCACAUUGUCUUUCUGUCGUGCGGGCCGGCCUGGCGGGCCCAGCUUUGGCUUCCGACCCGGGGCAGCGAAGGAUGAGAAGCCGCCGCGCAGGCCAGUAGCUGGACAUGAAAUGAGACCCGCAGAGAAUCUGGAGUCUGCCCUUGGGCAGCACGCAGGAAGGUGUGCUGCUCUGCUGCUCAGGAUGUGGAAUGAAGAAUCCAGGUGAUCAGAAAUCAGAUAACAGCAGGACAGCAGCCCACUAGGAGGCCGUCAGAAACUUAAGAUCUGGAGGAAGUCUUCAGGUGAUGGCAAUGGUGUCCUUUGGAUGGGAUCUUGACAGACCUUGCUUUGAGCUGCAAAUAUCACUGCAUUUUCCAGUCAGUUUCCUGAAAUAUGUUCACAGGGGUUUUUAGUAGAGCUCUUUUCCCACACAUUGUUACUGUAAACAUUCUACCCAAAGGCUUGUUUUGGUCUAGCCUAUAUUUGAGUAAAAGCUCAGAGUUAUAAUUGCUAUGAGAGGCCCUUGGUAUCAAGGUGUUUGUCUGGGCACCCCUACUAGACUUCUUCAGAGAGGAAAGGCCACCAUUGCUUACGCAAUAUCUUAUAGAGGUCAGGCUUUGCCAUCCCACUCUCCAGAAUUGCAGUGACAUCCAUCCUUGGGUCCCCUUGCUGCAGCACCCUCAUGCUAGUGUCCUUCUGGGGUGUUGAGGCAGGAUAGAAUUUGGAGCUGGGAAAGGCAGAAUGACCUGUGUCAUCUUUUUAAUUAUAAAGAGCUCUUCUGAUCAGCCGAAUGAACCGUGGAAGGUUUCAGUGUUGGUGCUAAUUAAAUUUCUUAUCUGGGUGGAGUAUAACAACUUUGCAUUGAUGUAGUAAGCUUGUUUUAAUUAAAAUCUAAAGAAAACA